GAUGCCAAGACGGCCCAACAUUCACCCCAGGGACA
rnacentral:tRNA from 1 species